rnacentral:rRNA from 1 species
UACGGGGGGGGCAAGCGUUGUUCGGAAUUACUGGGCGUAAAGGGCCAGUAGGCGGCCAACUAAGUCGGAUGUGAAAUCCCCAGGCUUAACCUGGGAACUGCAUCCGAUACUGGAUGGCUUGAAUUCGGGAGAGGGAUGCAGAAUUCCAGGUGUAGCGGUGAAAUGCGUAGAUAUCUGGAGGAAUACCGGUGGUGUAAACGGCUUUCUGGACCAUAACUGACGCUGAGGCACGAAAGCGUGGGUAGCAAACAGG